rnacentral:rRNA from 1 species
CAAGUCGGACGGCAGCGCGGGGGCAACCCUGGCGGCGAGUGGCGAACGGGUGAGUAAUACAUCGGAACGUGUCCUGGAGUGGGGGAUAGCCCGGCGAAAGCCGGAUUAAUACCGCAUACGAUCUAGGGAUGAAAGCGGGGGAUCUUCGGACCUCGCGCUCAAGGAGCGGCCGAUGGCGGAUUAGCUAGUUGGUGGGGUAAAGGCCCACCAAGGCGACGAUCCGUAGCUGGUCUGAGAGGACGACCAGCCACACUGGGACUGAGACACGGCCUAGACUCCUACGGGAGGCAGCAGUGGGGAAUUUUGGACAAUGGGGGCAACCCUGAUCCAGCAAUGCCGCGUGUGUGAAGAAGGCCUUCGGGUUGUAAAGCACUUUUGUCCGGAAAGAAAACUUCGUCCCUAAUAUGGAUGGAGGAUGACGGUACCGGAAGAAUAAGCACCGGCUAACUACGUGCCAGCAGCCGCGGUAAUACGUAGGGUGCGAGCGUUAAUCGGAAUUACUGGGCGUAAAGCGUGCGCAGGCGGUGAUGUAAGACCGAUGUGAAAUCCCCGGGCUUAACCUGGGAACUGCAUUGGUGACUACAUUGCUGGAGUAUGGCAGAGGGGGGUGGAAUUCCACGUGUAGCAGUGAAAUGCGUAGAGAUGUGGAGGAACACCGAUGGCGAAGGCAGCCCCCUGGGCCAAUACUGACGCUCAUGCACGAAAGCGUGGGGAGCAAACAGGAUUAGAUACCCUGGUAGUCCACGCCCUAAACGAUGUCAACUGGUUGUCGGGCCUUCAUUGGCUUGGUAACGUAGCUAACGCGUGAAGUUGACCGCCUGGGGAGUACGGUCGCCA